GGUAGUGUUGCUUUCAUCAACGAAAACUAUGACUAAAUAUCGUCGUCAACGAACCUUUAUCAUGUGACGAAAACGAGACGAGAUGCAACGUAAAUGCUGGUCUUGUGACGAUGACUAUAAUUAAAUCUAUAAUGCAAUAUUGUUGUUGAAUAAAAACGAUACUAAAUGUGGUUUCGAAAAUAAAAAUUCGUUGACCAAAAUGAGACUAAACAAAAUGUUAUAACGUUAUUUCGUCUCAUUUAGUCGUGUUAUUAUUUUGCAGUAUUUCUGUUUCCUGUGUCUCACUUCAAGGGCUGCAUCAGGUUGCACUGCAGGUACAAUUCUUGUGAUGGAUGAGAUGAUGAAUUAAUAAUUUCUUUAUGUACAAACUUAAAACAAUCUUAAACUAUUGGCUGUAUUUCACAUCAAACACAAGACAACUGAAAGCAAAUAGUGUAUAAUUAAUAUCUAAAUUAAUUCUUAUUCUAUUUUAUACAAUAAAAAUAAAACGUACUUCAAAUAAGAAGCCUUGGACAAACUAUGCAAACUUUAAAAAAAAAAAAAAAACAUUUUCCGUCUUAAAAUUUGAACUUCAUGUAGCAGUAGGGGAUUUUUCUUUUUUUCUGCAGUCGUUACCCUUAUAUGGGAAUGGGAGAAUGAGGUAAUUAGGGCAGGUGUAUUUAAGCAUGUAGAUUGGAAGCCCUAGAAUGUAGGCUUUGUCAUACCCGCCCCUCUUCCGGUGUUAUUGCAGUCUGGGUAAGUGACGGAGGUUAUGCAUGGCGUCGUGUGGUUUUAAAGUGUUUAGGGUAUGUGUCUUUGUCUUUUGAAGUGAUUGCUGUAACCGUCUUGGCAGCGUGCCCUGGGAGUUGCGUCAAGCACUUAUUGGAAGCUUUCAGGUAUGCCGGCAAUCGCAAUGUGUUGUGGUGUGGGUUAUUGUGUGUUUUAGCAGAAAAUUUGCGAGUGCAUCCAGAUAUUGUGAUGUUUGAUUUUUUUCGUGUGGUACGUAUGAUUUAGUGAAUGUUUUGUAUCCCCUGAUUGGAGUAGAUUCUUGUUUGAUUUGUUAUGUUUUGUUUUGC
ensembl:lncRNA